UACGGAGGGUGCGAGCGUUGUCCGGAAUCAUUGGGCGUAAAGGGCGCGUAGGUGGCCCCUCAAGCGUGCGGUGAAAGUCAGGGGCUCAACCCCUGAUCGGCCGUGCGAACUGGGGAGCUUGAGCACUGUAGAGGCAGGCGGAAUUCCGGGUGUAGCGGUGGAAUGAGUAGAGAUCCGGAAGAACACCGGUGGCGAAGGCGGCCUGCUGGGCUGACACUGACGCUCAUGCACGAAAGCGUGGGGAGCAAACAGG
rnacentral:rRNA from 1 species